rnacentral:tmRNA from 1 species
GGGCUUGUACUGGUUUCGACGGGGGUUUUGAAGUUUGGGAAGCCAUCCGCGGACUCCGGGACCGCGCAACAACCUGGAACUUAAAAUUAAACGCAGAUAAUAAUGAAUUAGCGUACGCUGCCUAAUGGCGGCUGUCGAAGCGUGAGAUUCCCGCGGCUCAUUCUUCGGCAUCAAACAUCAGCGGGGCACUUCUUCGCCAAAGCUUUGCGGUGAUGAAAGAUUUUAUGAAGCUACUGAUGCAUUCAGCCUGUCAUCCGGCGUAAUGCAAAGGGAAUGUUAAAAGAAUGACUGUGAUGGGAGAUGCCUGGAUGGAUGGGCUUUCGGACGCGGGUUCGAUUCCCGCCAGGUCCAUAU